rnacentral:rRNA from 1 species
AACGAACGCUGGCGGCAUGCCUAACACAUGCAAGUCGAACGAGACCUUCGGGCCUAGUGGCGCACGGGUGCGUAACGCGUGAGAACCUGCCCUUAGGUUCGGAAUAACUCCCCGAAAGGGGUGCUAAUACCGGAUAAUGUCUUCGGACCAAAGAUUUAUCGCCUUUGGAUGGGCCCGCGUUGGAUUAGCUAGUUGGUAGGGUAAAAGCCUACCAAGGCGACGAUCCAUAGCUGGUCUGAGAGGAUGAUCAGCCACACUGGGACUGAGACACGGCCCAGACUCCUACGGGAGGCAGCAGUGGGGAAUAUUGGACAAUGGGCGAAAGCCUGAUCCAGCAAUGCCGCGUGAGUGAUGAAGGCCUUAGGGUUGUAAAGCUCUUUUACCCGGGAUGAUAAUGACAGUACCGGGAGAAUAAGCUCCGGCUAACUCCGUG